AGCGUAGGCGGAUUUUUAAGUGAGAUGUGAAAUACUCGGGCUUAACCUGAGUGCUGCAUUUCAAACUGGAAGUCUAGAGUGCAGGAGAGGAGAAGGGAAUUCCUAGUGUAGCGGUGAAAUGCGUAGAGAUUAGGAAGAACACCAGUGGCGAAGGCGCUUCUCUGGACUGUAACUGACGCUGAGGCUGAAAGCGUGGGGGAGCAAACA
rnacentral:rRNA from 1 species